GACGAACGCUGGCGGCGUGCUUAACACAUGCAAGUCGAACGGAAAGACCCUGCUUUUGUGGGGUGCUCGAGUGGCGAACGGGUGAGUAACACGUGAGUAACCUGCCCUUGACUUUGGGAUAACUUCAGGAAACUGGGUCUAAUACCGGAUAGGAGCUCCUGCUGCAUGGUGGGGGUUGGAAAGUUUCGGCGGUUGGGGAUGGACUCGCGGCUUAUCAGCUUGUUGGUGGGGUAGUGGCUUACCAAGGCUUUGACGGGUAGCCGGCCUGAGAGGGUGACCGGCCACAUUGGGACUGAGAUACGGCCCAGACUCCUACGGGAGGCCACAGUGGGGAAUCUUGCACAAUGGGCGGAAGCCUGACGCAGCAACGCCGCGUGCGGGAUGACGGCCUUCGGGUUGUAAACCGCUUUCGCCUGUGACGAAGCGUGAGUGACGGUAAUGGGUAAAGAAGCACCGGCUAACUACGUG
rnacentral:rRNA from 1 species